UCAAGUAUGGCAUAGUGGUUUGAGUGUUGGACUAUGAAUUUGGAGACUUGGGUUCGAUUCACUGCUUGGC